UCGCAUGAGUUGUUCUGGACUUGCUCUGCAUGUCGGGCUCCCUGCACUUUUGGUGCGGCCAACCGACAUGGGGCUGUCUCUUCACUCUCCCUCCUGUCAUUUAAUUUGUCGGGGUUGGGAUGCUUGUGAUCGGUUGCCUGUGUAGUUCUACCCUGUUGUGGGUAGCGAAGUUGUCCCUCGAUUGAUAUUUGCUUGCCUUUCUGACAUUUUUUUGUCGGUUGGGCAGCCGAAAUGAUGGCGAGAUCCUUGUGUAGGUGCGUUUGGUCGAAUGGCCUUGUUGCUAUCGCUUGGAUUUUUGCCGCCUCUCACGGAUACAGUGCCUAUUGCUAGCUCUGCGUGACUUUACUCCGCAGACUUCGGGAGGUCCCUUGUACGAAUCAUUGCGACGUGGGCGCCGUUUGUCGUGUUGCUUGUUUGGCACGCAAAUCGUAUUGUUCUGUCUGGAGUCGGGAUGACGAAGGGCAAGAAUGAAGUGUCCGGGGUGUGAUUGCGUACAUGGGAAAGCCUCUCCGAUCGUAUGAGCAGCGAUUUCCGGCUUGCGUCAUGCGAAGGCGCUGCCCGUUCGGGUUGGUGCCGGAGCUGACGCGCCGGCUCUCGUGUAAGACGUGCUACCUGGUUGAUCCUGCCAGUAGUCAUAUGCUUGUCU
rnacentral:misc_RNA from 1 species